AUUGAACGCUGGCGGCAUGCUUUACACAUGCAAGUCGAACGGUAACAGGCCGCAAGGUGCUGACGAGUGGCGAACGGGUGCGUAAUGCAUCGGAACGUGCCCUGUCGUGGGGGAUAACUACUCGAAAGAGUAGCUAAUACCGCAUACGAUCUAUGGAUGAAAGCGGGGGACCGUAAGGCCUCGCGCGAUUGGAGCGGCCGAUGUCAGAUUAGGUAGUUGGUGGGGUAAAGGCUCACCAAGCCAACGAUCUGUAGCUGGUCUGAGAGGACGACCAGCCACACUGGGACUGAGACACGGCCCAGACUCCCACGGGAGGCAGCAGUGGGGAAUUUUGGACAAUGGGCGCAAGCCUGAUCCAGCAAUGCCGCGUGCAGGAAGAAGGCCUUCGGGUUGUAAACUGCUUUUGUACGGAACGAAACGGCUCUGGUUAAUACCCGGGGCUAAUGACGGUACCGUAAGAAUAAGCACCGGCUAACUACGUG
rnacentral:rRNA from 1 species